GAAAACGGAAACAAGUAUGCCGUCUCACUGUACUGCAUACAAUUACACACUGCGUCGUAGGAUUGAGACAAGGAAACGUGGAAUGACUUUUCAUAGGUUUCCCAGAGACUAUGGGUUGAGGAGGAAUUGGAAGUUUGUCGGCUUAGACCUGGUGUCAUUCCAUCAGUGUUUAACUUCCCAGCUCAUCUUGGAAGAGUACGUGCCAGAAAGACCACAACCAAGCAGCCUUGAGAUCUUAGACAGCGUCUCCCUCAGGUCCCUCUCUAUCUCCCCACACAUCCACCAACCACUGGAACACAUCUCCAAAGUUCUGCUGGACCAGCUCAGCUUCCCCUCAGAAGAAGUGCUGCCACCUGCCAGAUGAAGGAGCCUUUUGAGAGGCAGCUGGCAUCGUGAUUGGACUGUACUUUGGUCUGUUCCAAUCCAGCUUCAGCUCCAGAGACGGCAGGCGGGACGAGUCAACGGAGGCCUGGUGGACGAAGACAUGCAGCUGAGUACAAUCCAGAAAACAACAGAGGAGGAGUGCAGCAGCCCAGAGCCAGAACAACCAGAGUAGCAUCGUAUGUCUCUUAGAAAACAUCAUAGUAUAGCCUUUGGUAUGAAAAAACGCCAUCAUAUACAUCGUAUAUUGUACAAAUAACAAGUCAAAGCAAAGAGACAUACAUUGUAGAAUUGUAGUAAUUGUGGGCUG
ensembl:lncRNA